rnacentral:rRNA from 1 species
AAACCAGCACCUCAAGUUGUCAGGAGGAUUAUUGGGCCUAAAGCAUCCGUAGCCUGCUCUGUAAGUUUCCGGUUAAAUCCAUUUGCUCAACAAAUGGGCUGCCGGAAAAACUGCAAAGCUAGGGAGUGGGAGAGGUAGACGGUACUCGGUAGGAAGGGGUAAAAUCCUUUGAUCUAUUGAUGACCACCUGUGGCGAAGGCGGUCUACCAGAACACGUUCGACGGUGAGGGAUGAAAGCUGGGGGAGCAAACCGGAUUAGAAACCCCAGUAGUCC